GCAAAACUUGUAGGACUGUGACUAUUGAGAGAUCCAAUACCUUUUCUAGUUUUACUACUGGGAAGGUAUAUCAUAUUAAAUCAGAUAUAGGUUGCCACACGGACUUUGUGGUUUAUCUACUGCAGUGUCCGUGUGGCAAACAGUAUGUGGGCCGUACCGUAAGAACUUUCAAAGUUCGAAUACUUGAAUAUCUGAACAACAUUAGGAAGGGGUUAAUUACUCACACAGUUUCUGCACAUUGCAGUACAUGCCCUUCCUUUUCAUGGAAAGAGUUAAGAUGUAUGGGUAUCGAAAGAGUUGCCCCC